rnacentral:rRNA from 1 species
UACGUAGGGACCAAGCGUUGUUCGGAUUUACUGGGCGUAAAGGGCGCGUAGGCGGCUUGACAAGUCACUUGUGAAAUCUCCGGGCUUAACUCGGAACGGCCAAGUGAAACUGUCAUGCUAGAGUGCAGAAGGGGCAAUCGGAAUUCUUGGUGUAGCGGUGAAAUGCGUAAAUAUCAAGAGGAACACCUGAGGUGAAGACGGGUUGCUGGGCUGACACUGACGCUGAGGCGCGAAAGCCAGGGGAGCAAACGGG